CUUGCGUGCGCAUGCCCUUCUGUGUCCAGGCUCUAUUUUGUUUUCUCAGGCCUGGUGUUUUUGAGGUGGCGGGGGUCGCAGAGUCUGCUCGCUCUUCUAGGGCCAGUACUGCAGCACCAGGAAAUGGCGGAUGAGUCGGAAGAGUUGGGGGGAGAACCCGGGAUGCGCCAGUGUGCUAUGUCUGCAAAGUUGUCUGCAUCUUCCUACUAACACAAAAUAAGUAAGAUUGUGUCCAUAUAAGAGCAGUGCUUCUCAAAGUAAGAACCUGUGACCAGCGGCCUCAGCAUCCGUGUGAAUUUGUUUGAAAUGCAGAUUUUCAGUCCCCACCCCAAGCUUCUCUGAAGGGAAUCUCUUGAGAGGUAUUGUGUUGUCAAACCAGAGGUAAUCUUUGGCCUAGAGCAAAAAUAGGAACCACUGGAGGAAGAGCCUCUAAGGAACAGCCAUCCAGAAAUUUCUAACAAUUUUCCAGAAGGAUUGUUACUCUUCAAAGCCAAUGCUGAGGAAGAAGGACUCCGGCCCUUUGAAGUGUGUUGUCAGUGAGGAAUGUCAACACCAAAGUCUCCUUACAUGUCACUUUUGAUGCCAUCUUCAUGGAAACUGCAAAAGUUGUGAAUGUGUGUAUGUAUGUAUUACAUCGUCAAUUUUUACUAUUUAGCUUCUGAAGUAGCUGUCCAUUUAGUGGCUUUAUACCAGUAUUGUUCUUUGUUAGGUAUAAGAGAGCACUGAAAUGAACUGUACCUACUGGGCCCCUGGAGGAAUCUGUGUGCAAAAAUGAAUGCUGUAAUUUGUGGAGUUACAUGAAGAUGAGAUCCUACAUAGUUAUCUCUCUACAUGUACCUGUUCAUACUUACAGAGCAGGUGCAGAUGGAAAUCUCUUUAGAAGGUAGUAACUACAAAAUAAUAGAGUAUAAAUUCUCUAUGGUUAGUUUGACAUUUGUAUUUCUUAGCUCACAGCAACCUCAAACUCCUGGGUUCAAGUGAUCCUCUUGCCUCAGCUUCCCAAGUAGCUGGGACAACAGGUGCCCAGCACAAUGUCUGGCUAAUUUUUUUUUUCUUUUUUUAGUAGAGAUGGGAGUCUCACUGUUGCUUAGGCUAGUCUUGAACUCCUGAGCUAAAGCAGUGUACCAUCCUCAGCAUCCCAGAGUGCUGAGAUUAUCAGGCAUGAGCCACCAUGCCUGGCCACUGAAAGACUUCUUUAGGAGAGUUAGAAAUUAAUGCUGAGGCAAUGAAAACAUAGUAUCAAAAUAAAUAUAUGCUUAAUGAAACAUGUUUUUAAAAAGUCUUACAAGGGCGGCGCCUGUGGCUCAAGGAGUAGGGCGCCGGUCCCACAUGCCGGAGGUGGUGGGUUCAAACCCAGUACCGGCCAAAAACCAAAAAACAAACAAACAAACAAAUAAAAAGUCUUACAAAUGCAUAAGGAAAUGGCUUAAAAAAUCAUAGAGAUACCGGCAAAAUUAAUAAACAGGCCUUUUACAAACAAAUAUUUAAAAGGGGAUUAUAUAUGUACAUACACACACACAUAUAUAAAUUUGUUGAUUUCAUUGAUUUUUUUUCCAGAGGGCAAAUUGGAUCUACAUAAAGAGGCCACCACAUGCCUAACAGAAUGAUGAAACUGAAACACUCAGGAAAUGUUAAUUAUUGUUCAGGCUGGGAGCAGCCAAACUCAGCACUUGUGUGUGCCAAAAAUUAAAAAGAUUGUAAUGAGAGGGAUCACAGGAGAUCUAAAGAAAUAGAUUCUAGAUUCUACACUUCAGGACUGUGCAUUAUGACAGUUCAUCUCUACUUGAUUUACAGAUUGAGCACAUUGUCAGUCAGCUGCAUUCCAUCAAGGGGUUGUCUACCUGUAGACACAAUGAUUGGCGAUACUUAGGAAACAUAUUAUGGAAAAUGGAUCUUGGCAUUCUUCAUAAAUUAUUCAAAAAUUAACUCAAAAUGAAUGAUAGAAUUGUUAAGUAAAAACUGUAACAUUUGUAGACCCAAAGAAAGGUGUCCUCUUUGUAACUGUGGGAUUAGCAAUGAAGUUUUAGAUAUGACAUCCAAAAAAUGCACCUUUUUUUGAUAAAUUAACAAAGUGGACAUAAUCAUUAUUGAAAAUGUUCUGUGGCUCGCCACCUGUACCUCAGCGGCUAGGGCGCCAGCCACAUACACCAGAGCUGGCAGGUUCAAAUUCGGUCUGGGACUGCUGAAGAACAAUGACAACUACAACCAAAAAAAAAAAAAAGAGAAUGACCGGGCAUUGUGGUAGGUGCCUGUAGUCUCAGCUACCUGGGAGUCUGAGGCAAGAGAAUUUCUUUUUUUUUUUUUCUGUAGGGACAGAGUUUCAUGUCAUAGCCCUUGGUAGAGUGCCAUGGCAUCAUACAGCUCACAGCAACCUCCAACUCCUGGGCUUAAGCGAUUCUCUUGCCUCAGCCUCCCGAGUAGCUGGGACUACAGGCACCUGCCACAAUGGCCGGCUAUUUUUUGGUUGCAGUUCAGCCGGGGCCGAGUUUGAACCUGCCACCCUCAGUAUAUGGGGCCGGCGCCCUACCAACUGAGCCACAGGCUCCGCCCAGCAAGAGAAUUUCUUAAGCCCAAAAGUUUGAGGUUGCUGUGAGGUUGCUAUGACACCACGGCACUCUACUAAGGGUAACCAAGUGAGAUUCUGUCUCAAAAAAAAAAAAAAAAAAAAAAGUCCGUGAACACUCUUCAGAGACUAAAAUUCUAUGGGAAUCAUAUAUGAAAGGUGUAAAUAAUUGUGCCGAAAGACAAAACCGCAAUAGGAAAGAGGUUUAGGUCAGCUCUAUUGAAAAGGGAGGGUGACCCGCCUGGUCAGAACAAAGAUGGUGUCCGCACCUGGGAGUAGUUAGAGACCACAUUUAUAUGUGGCUGUCGGGAGCGCACAUUCUACAGGUUGUUUCUCAGCUAGGGUCUUUUGGUGUGAAUUUUUCAGGGCAUGGCCUAAUUAGAUUGUUUGUGUCUUUGUCUUAGGAGGAGAGAACACAGUCAGAACUGGUGGGUAGCAAUCCCUAGUCUGGCAGUUCUGUUAGAAACCCCUGCUGUGAUGCCCAGCCAUAGUAGGAGAUGGGACCUAUAGGCCUUGUCAAGGUCAGAUAGUGAAAGGGUUGGCUUUGUUUUAGAUUCUUAUGAGCUGCUAUAAACUUUAAGAAUGUUCUUUACUUUUUUUUCCUUUUUCUCUUAUAGAUUGUGCUUCUUAGUCACACCCCACACAUUUCCAGUGAGUGUGCCAUGGUACUGUGUGGGAAAGGUUGGGCAAUAUCAAAGGGCCUUGGCUUUUAAUAAGAGGAGAAUUGCUUGAGUUGGCCAUAGCACUUGUAGGGAUAUCUGCUUUUUUGCUUCUAGUCUAACAGAUGGCCGUGGCUUGCUGGGCUGCAUUUGUUUUCUCUGUAGUUAUUAAUGCUGACAUACUGGCUUGGAAGCUUAGUUCAGACUCUGGUGGGAGUGGGAUGAGGUAAAACAGGAUUGAAGAAUGAACAUGGGAGAGGGGCCAGCAGUGCCAUAUCCCUGUUUCUGUCCAUUUUCUGUUGCUAUAACGAUAUACCUAAUACUGGGUAAUUUAUUAGGAACAGAAUUUUUUUUUUUAGCUCCUCAUCCUGGGGAGGCUGUGAAGUCCAAGAGUGUGGCACCAGCAUCUGGUGAGGGUCAUCCCACGGGUGAAGGGUGUAAUGCAGUAGCAAGCAUGCAGGACAGAGAUGCGCCGGGGCCAGGCUUGCUUUAUGUAUCCUCCUCCUGUGAUAACAACUAACCCAUUAAAGAGGUCUCCUCUGUUGUGAUCCAGUCUCUUCUUACCAGGUCUUUCUUCACAACACUGCUGCUUUGGGGAUUAACUUUCCAACACAUGAACUUUUAGGGGACACCUUCAAACCAUAGCACUCCCUCAAACCAAAUGCCUGUCACUGUCUUUUCAUUGCUGUAUUCUAGAUUGUUUAGCUGAAGGUCUUUCAUCACACUGCCCCAAAUAAAGUAUUGUGUAAUUGUCAGAGGAGGACUCUACAUAGAUUUCUUUAAAAGUAAAUCUCUGCACUUUUCAAGUUGAACCUGAUAUAUAUCCCUGCUAACACAUAUUCCAGCACCAUAAUCAUGCACGAUGUUACAGCUUUUCGGUGACUUUCUCUAUGUAUGCUUUUAACAAUAAAUACAAUAAAUCUUCCUCCCUACAUCAACUAAUGUGGCUGGGCUGUCCCUGGGUUCCUAGGACCAUUCUGCCAUACAUUGUUAGUAAACCUUUUAGUUACACAGGAAAGAAACUUUAGAGACCAUGUCAUUCCAUUUCUGCUUUGAGCAGCUGAGAGAACUGACACCCAUGUUCACACAGUGAGGUAGCAUAGCCAGUCUCUUCUAUCUUCACCUCAGUACUAUAGUGUUUGGAAUCCGUCAUGGUAUUUUUAUUUCUUGACUGUACUGCACUGCCCUCUCACCUCCACAUCAGCUGAGUGCAUCAUAGGUGUAUCCUCCAUCUCAGUGAAUGGAGGAAAUGUUGUUCCAGGCCUUCACACAGCAACUGUAGGCCUGUAAAGCUUUGCCAAGUAGGACAUGCCACACUUACACAGGUAGAAACUAACCUUGAAAGGAGAGGGGGCUCGGUGCCUAUAGCUCAGUGAGUAGGGCUCCAGCCACAUACACUGAAGGUGGUGGGUUUGAGCCAAGCCCAGGCCUGCUAAACAACAAUGACAACUGCAAACAAUAAUUGGCCAGGCAUUGUGGUGGGUGCUUGUAGUCCCAGCUACUUUGGAGGCUGAGGCAAGAGAAUUGCUUGAGCCCAAGAGUUUGAGCUUACUGUGAGCUGUGACGCUAUGACACUGUACUGAGGGCGACAUAGUAAGAUUCUGUCUCAAAAAAAAAAAGAAAGAAAGAAAGAAGAGGGAUUUACUCUUUUCAAGUUUUUCUAAGAAAAUUCUAGAUGAAAUAGAAACAGUAUCUAAGACUGAAGCCUCUGAAGCCAGGCUGUGACAUCCUAUCCUUGUUUUAUCACUUAUGACUUCUGUGAUCUUGAAUAAGGUACUUAACAUGUCCAUGCUUCAUUUUUCUUUAGAAAAUGGAGUUGAUGAUAGUACUUGGUGGCCCAUGCCUGUCAUCCUAGCACUCUGGGAGGCUGAGGCAGGAGGAGUGAGUGAGGUCAGGAGUUUGAGAUAAUGGUACCUAUUCAUUUAGUUUGGGUGCAUUGAUUUUCCGAAAUCAAACAGAAUCACAGUGUUGUGUUGUUUUCUUGCCAUGCCAAAGGAAUAAGAGGAUAGAAGAACUGAACUUUCUUUGAAGCCCAUUUGAACAGUAAUAUCUCAGUCUUACAAAUAUGUAUCAUAUUUAGGAAUACAAAGAUGUGAAGUAUUAUUAAAAGUGGUACAAAAUUAGGGAGUAAGGCAACCAAUCAGAACUAUAGGUUGUUUUUGAAUGUUAUUAAAGGAGCCAGGGCAGUAGUUUCUAGGUUCUGAACUCUUUCAGAAUCCCCUUUUCAAAUUUACUUCCAAGGACAAAUUUGUAUUAAUAGGGAAUAGAACACGUGGAUAACAGUGUAAAAUAAUUCUACAAGCCUCCAAAAACAAAAUUGGUAUUUUUGUGAGUGUUCUCCGUUUUAUCUCCUACGUAAACAAAUUCUUUCACUAAUUUUAUAUCAUGGUAAGAGCUUUCCUCAGUAGCUCUAGGGAAGAGGAGGUAUGCCUGGCCCUUUUUGAGACUCUAUUUAUUAAUAUGAAUACUGGCAGUUGUCACAGUGCUCUAGAAUUCUAUCAGUUAGCAUUAUACAUUAAAGAUAGGCCUUUGGAUUCUAGGUUAAGGCAGACACAAGUGAGGAUUGAGUAGGAUUGCUCUGUGCAGCAGCAGAAUAGGGAGCACACAGCACUAACCUCCUAUACCUCACAGUUAGGAUGAGGAUGAAGACAUCCUUGUAAGACUAGAAACAAUGCCUAGUCCAUGUGAAGUGCUCUGUAAAGGGGAAGAGGCCUUAACAAACUGGAAAAGGUAACACGUAACAGCAGAAGAAAAAAUUAGAAAGAUUAGGCACAUGAGCCUCCUCCAUGUGCAGGAGGCUAUCUGUAACUGAGAGAGAGGAGUCACUGUCAGAGACCAAAUAGCCUCCAGGAGCUAAAAGUGGUCCUUGGCCAGCACCCAGGAAGAAUAGAAAAGUACUCAGUCCUACAGUCACAAAGAGAACUGAUUUGUUCCCACAACCUGUGUGGAAGCAGAUUCUUGCCAGAUCCCAUGGACAGGAAUGCAGCUGGUCCUGGAUCUUGACUCUGGGUUUCUGAGAGUCUGUCUAUGCAGAGAAUCCAGUCCAGCCUGCUUGUACUUGUGGCCUACAGAACUACAAUAAUGUUGUGUGAAGCCACUACAUUUGUAGUCAGUUGGUGUUCAGCAAUCGAAAUAUAAUAAAUUAGGUAAAAUAGGCAGUUUACAAAAGAGUAUGGGCAGUAUAAUUUCCUCCUUGUUUAUAUAUUCCUGUAUUAGUGAGUCUGCAGAGUAAAAUGAACUAAAGUAUAUACACAGUGUUGUUAACAGGGAUGCUUGGUUGGCAAGUUGAAUUAAUUGAACAGAAUAUAACCAGCAGACAACUGCUAAGUCUCCUAACUCAUUAUUUCCAUGGACUAAGUGUCAUAGAAGGAACUUGGGCAUUCUGUGAGGUCUUCUUCAAUACCACCUGACUUUUGGCAUUAAUCUCUUUUUCUUUUGAGACAGGAGUCUCACUUUGUUGGCCUAAGUAGAGUGCUAUGGUGUUACAGCUCACAGCACCCUCAAACUCUUGGGCUUUAAGUGAUUAUCUUGCCUUAGCCUCCCAAGUAGCUGGGACUACAGGCACCUGCCACAAUGCCCAGCUAUUUUUUUUUUGCAGUUGUCAUUGUUGUUUAGCUGGCCCAGGCCAGGUUUGAAUCUGCCACCCUUGGUGUAUGUAGCUGGUGCUCUCUGUAACCAAUGUGCUACGGGCGCCAACGGGGCAUUAAUCUGUUCUUGCUGUUUGUCUACAGAGUAGUAUUGUUCUGGGUUUGAGAUCUGAAAAAUUGGAUUUCAAAAUGUAACUUCACUACUUAGGAGCUUUGUGAAACUCAGGUAAUUUAAAUACUUCUUAUGGCUUUAAUUUCCUCAAAUCUAAAUUCUGAAAAAGAUUACUCACCAGCUGUGGUCACUGUGAAGCUUCACGCAGAUAAAUGCAAAGCAAAUGAUAUCACCAUUGCUGAGUACCUGGGCCACCCCCAAGGCGAAAGCUCACGUCAUUAUUGUUCUUAUAUGUUCAAACAGGUUCAGCUGUGUUAGUAGUUUUCAAUUUAGUCUUCCCCAUGGUCCUUCUUUCAUCAUGUCUUGGUAUUAUCAAGUGCCUAGCAUGGUGCCUGGCAUCUAUCAUGUACUUGGUAACUUCUGCUUCAAUUAAUGCAUGAGUGAAUAAUCUGAAUCCUGAUAAAAUGAAAUGUUUGGUUCCCAAGACAAUGCAGACUCCAGUCACAUAGCACUGUCAUGAGAUGUCGGUAUAAACAGGAGAACUUUGCAUUUCAGGAAUAUUGUGGUCUAUAUUCCAUCACUCUUCUAGGCAUUCACAGAAAACACACAACUGUAAUACUGUGAAAGCAGAAAGCAAACUUCCAGGGCUUUGUCCACCUCCUUCCUGUUUUCACUGUGUGGGUAAAAACUGUGUAGGUUGUAUGUAGCCUUACAUACAAAAACCUGCUUUACAAAGAAAAAUUUUCCUGCUAAGCUUGUAGUCCUGAAGACAGACCAAGGAGACUUCUUUGGGGACAAUUCGAUCUGCACAGCCUUUUUUCUAUUUCUGCUUUAAAUCUUUGUCUCCAGGCUUGUGUCAGAAGGCAGCAUUGUAAAGAACACAGAUUCAAAUGGUAGUUUCUUUACUGAACAUUGGUGCUUCUGUGCAAGUUUCUCAACCUUUCUGAGCUUCCUUUUGUCCUGUGGAAAAACAACAAAAAAACAAAUUAUAGAGAUCACUAAUGUUGCAGCUAUGGAGAUUUAAGCAGGAGAUCAUUCUCUAAAAGUCUAGUCCCCAGAGUGUCCUGGAAUGAAAAGGGAGUAUUUUCUUUGCAGUGCUGAAGGGAUUUGGACAAUGAGCCCACAAGUACUCGGCCUAAAGCCUUCUAUCUCUAUUAGGUGCACGAGCUCUCUGGAAGGCCUUGCUUUGAAUGAUCCCCAGCUGUAACCUCCUCUUCAAAAACACAAGUCUAAAAAUGGCUAUGAAUGCUGUCCUCUCUUAGGCUUCUUGUGGUCUCCAUAACAAAACCUCCAAGUCGAGUAUUGUGGGCUUAUAAAAAUGUCUACAGCCGGUUUGUCAUCUGCUUUAAUGAUGUUUCCUAAUGGUUAACAUGGACAUUGGCAUCUUUUAUCUGGGUAAAGUGUUGUGAGACUGGCUUUCCCCUCCCCUAAAUAGUUGGUGUAAACAGCCCAUGAGCUGCUGGAAUGCAGACCUAUGAUUUUUGUCUUCCUACAAAGAGAUGUAUUCUGGAAGGCAUGGGGAUUCUACCUCAUUUCCUGCCACAACAGGCAAAAUGGCCCCAUUGCUAUUGGAAAAUAGUCAAUACUCCUGUCCCCGGAGCCCACACACAGUGUGUGCAGCAGCUUCAGGAGGGAAUAAAAAAUAGAUAAUAAGGUAAAUGAUGUUUUUUAGCAUCUAUUAUGUGUGAAAGAGGUUUCAUGAGCUUCAUUUCAUUGAUAAAGAAAUUUUAUGUUGAAAACACAUAUUUUGUUUAAAAUAUGGACUCACUUCACUUAACUAGGCCACUUCAAGGCAGCUAAAAGGAAAGCCAGCCAGAGCAAAAAUAGCUCUGGAUAUACACUUACUAGUAGCAAUAUAAUCCCUUUCAUAUUGCUACUAGGCCUUUCUUAUUUUUUCCUACCUUCCCCAGGAUUCAAGACUCACAAGGCAGGGUUCCUGCUUGCCUUUGUUCUUCCUUUACUAUUCCCCCUUUAUCACAAUUUUUUUUUUUUUUUUGAGACAGAGUCUCACUUUUUCACCCACAGUACAGUGUUAUGGUGUCAUAGCUCACAGCAGCCUCCAACUCUUGGACUCAAGUGAUUCUCUUGUCUUAGUCACCCAAGUAGCUGAGACUACUGGUGCCCAGCACAAUGCCACAGGGUCAUGCUCUACUUCAGGCUGGUCUUGAACUUGUGACCUCAGGCAAUCCACCCUCCUUGGCCUGCCAGAGUGCAGGGAUUACAGGCAAGAUUUACUGCAACCAGUCCCCCUUUAUCAUACUAAGUUAUGUUUGUUGUCUUCCAAAUGCUCAAUCAUAUUUUGUAGCCACCGAGUUCACCACUUUCUCUUUCUGAAAACUUUCCUUUCUACCUCCCUCCUGAUAUUCACUUCUGAUUCUUUGUCCUUUUUUCAGUCUGUUUUGUUGCUUUGGCAAUACCCAUGUAUCUUUGUUAACAACCAAAAAUUAUGGGGCGGUGCCUGUGGCUCAAAGGAGUAGGGCGCCGGCCCCAUAUGCUGGAGGUGGUGGGUUCAAACCCAGCCCUGGCCAAAAACUGCAAAAAAAAAAAAAAAUAGAAAUGGCUGGGAGAAAAUCGCUGAAUGAAAAUGAUCUCUUUGUCUUUCUUCCGUUGGCCUUUGUGAAGCAACAUCAGGUUUGAUAAAUGUCAAAAAUAGAACACAGGCUUGGCGCCUGUAGCACAGUGGUUAUGGCUCCAACCACAUACACCAAAGUUGGCAGGUUGAAACCUGGCCUGGGCCAUCUAACCAACAAUGACAGCCAUGGGUUGUGACGGGUGCCUGUGGUCCCAGAUUCUUGGGAUGCUGAGGCAAGACAAUCACUGAAGCCCAGGAGUUUGAAGUUGCGGUGACCUUUGACCCAUGGCACUCUACACAUAGUGAGGCUCUGUCUCCAAAAAAAAGAGAAAAAUUAGAAGACAGAAUCAAGCGGGUGCAUGUCCUCCUCACCUGCUCAUAGCUGUUUCUGACGAUGAUCACCAAUACUACUUUCUUCUGGAGGUCUUGAGCCUUCAAGAACUCUCAUUAUAGACAAGUCCUUAAGAUGUUGGAAGAGAGAUUUGUGCUAUGUUCAGUUCCUAUAGCCGUAUAGGUUUCUUACUCUGUCUCAUAGAAGAAAGAACAGACCUAAUGAAUUAGAAGCUGCAUUUUUGCAAGAUACCAGGGGAUUCAUAUCAUAUUGAAGUUUGAGAAGCACUGAUCUGGAGCAGUGGGUUAAUGCUCAACUUCACUUUGGAAUCACCUAGAUCAGCACACUUGAACCUUCAGUUAAAACUUUGAUGGCACACUUAAAUUAUGGUAUUAAAAACACAAAAAGAGUAGGGCGGCACCCGUGGCUCAAUGGGCAGGGCAACAGCCCCAUAUACCGAAG